AUGAUUCCUCCCUUACGUAGAUACAGAGAGGAAAUAUGUGAGCCCUCACAGACAAGAAUACACAAAGCCCCGGGAUUUUGAAGAGGCAGACAGAGGCCCAUCUGGACAGACAGCAGGGGGUCGCUGGGCAUCAGUCCUGGUCCCUGGGUCCUCUCCCUCCUUGCCGGGCUCCCGGAAUGGCCACAGUCAGGGAGAAGAGAGGUCCUGCAGCCAAAGGCAAAACAGGCUAAGAACCUUAACUCCUAAGGGAGAUCUCAUGGACAAAGAUGGUGGAAGAUCUGGACACAUCUCCUCAUAGGCUCUCCAGAGUGCCUUCAGAAACUUCUGCUUGACUUGGGAAGUGGAGAGGUGAGGCAGACAAAGGCAAAACAGACUGAGAAGCUUAACUCCUAAGGAAAACAUGAUGGAAAGAGAUGCCAGAAUAUUUGGACAUAUCUCCUCAUAGGACAGACAGCAGGGGGUCGCUGAGCAUCACCCCUGCUCCCUGGGUCCUCUCCCCCGGCGUCUGCCCCGCCCCCGGAAUGGCC